CCUCCCCCUACUCCCAAAGCAUGCUCCCAGACCAUGACCCUGGAGAAGGCACUUCUGCAGGUGCAAAUGUUUCAAUGCGGCCCCUAUCUACUCCGUCCCAGAGGCUUGUCCAGAUCAGAAGGCAGAAAAAACGAACUUGGGAUGACAUGUUUGCCAAGCUCAUGCAGUCCUCCUGCACUGAUAGGGCCCAGUUGAAUGCGUGGAGGCAAACAAUUGCAGAGUCGCAUAAAGUGUUACAUGAA